rnacentral:rRNA from 1 species
ACGGGAACCUUCGGGUUCUAGUGGCGGACGGGUGAGUAACGCGUGAGAAUCUACCAAAAGGACUGGGACAACCACUGGAAACGGUGGCUAAUACCGGAUGAGCCGCAACGUAAAAAGGGAAACCUGCCUUUUGAAGAGCUCGCGUCUGACUAGCUAGUUGGUGAGGUAAGAGCUCACCAAGGCAGCGAUCAGUAGCUGGUCUGAGAGGAUGACCAGCCACACUGGGACUGAGACACGGCCCAGACUCCUACGGGAGGCAGCAGUGGGGAAUUUUCCGCAAUGGGCGAAAGCCUGACGGAGCAAGACCGCGUGAGGGAAGAAGGCCCUUGGGUCGUAAACCUCUUUUAUCAGGGAAGAAAAAACUGACGGUACCUGAAGAAUCAGCCUCGGCUAACUCCGUGCCAGCAGCCGCGGUAAUACGGAGGAGGCAAGCGUUAUCCGGAAUUAUUGGGCGUAAAGCGUCCGCAGGUGGCUUAUCAAGUCUGCUGUCAAAGAGUGGGGCUUAACCCCAUAAAGGCAGUGGAAACUGAGAAGCUAGAGUGCCGUAGGGGUAGAGGGAAUUCCCGGUGUAGCGGUGAAAUGCGUAGAGAUCGGGAAGAACAUCGGUGGCGAAAGCGCUCUACUGGACGGCAACUGACACUCAGGGACGAAAGCUAGGGGAGCGAAUGGGAUUAGAUACCCCAGUAGUCCUAGCCGUA